rnacentral:rRNA from 1 species
UACGUAGGGUGCAAGCGUUGUCCGGAAUUAUUGGGCGUAAAGAGCUCGUAGGCGGUUUGUCGCGUCUGCUGUGAAAACUCGGGGCUUAACUCCGGGCCUGCAGUGGGUACGGGCAGACUAGAGUGCGGUAGGGGAGACUGAAUUCCUGGUGUAGCGGUGAAAUGCGCAGAUAUCAGGAGGAACACCGGUGGCGAAGGCGGGUCUCUGGGCCGUAACUGACGCUGAGGAGCGAAAGCGUGGGGAGCGAACAGG